UACAGAGGUCUCAAGCGUUGUUCGGAUUCAUUGGGCGUAAAGGGUGUGUAGGUGGCGCGCUAAGUCAGGUGUGAAAUUUCGGAGCUUAACUCCGAAACUGCAUUUGAUACUGGCGUGCUUGAGGACUGGAGAGGAGACUGGAAUUUACGGUGUAGCAGUGAAAUGCGUAGAUAUCGUAAGGAAGACCAGUGGCGAAGGCGGGUCUCUGGACAGUUCCUGACACUGAGGAGCGAAAGCGUGGGGAGCGAACAGG
rnacentral:rRNA from 1 species